AGGAUUGUAGUUAAUUAUAACAUUUGGGUUGCAUUCAAAAAGUGUUGAAGUAUAUAAAUUCAACUUAUCUUA
rnacentral:tRNA from 1 species